UGGGAAGCCUGUUUUGUCAGGGACCUCUGCU
rnacentral:piRNA from 1 species